rnacentral:rRNA from 1 species
GACGAACGCUGGCGGCGUGCCUAAUACAUGCAAGUCGAACGCAUUUUCUUUCACCGUAGCUUGCUACACCGACAGAAAAUGAGUGGCGAACGGGUGAGUAACACGUGGGUAACCUGCCCAUCAGCGGGGGAUAACACUUGGAAACAGGUGCUAAUACCGCAUAAUUCCAUUUACUGCAUGGUAGAUGGAUGAAAGGCGCUUUUGCGUCACUGAUGGAUGGACCCGCGGUGCAUUAGCUAGUUGGUGGGGUAACGGCCUACCAAGGCUGCGAUGCAUAGCCGACCUGAGAGGGUGAUCGGCCCCACUGGGACUGAGACACGGCCCAGACUCCUACGGGAGGCAGCAGUAGGGAAUCUUCGGCCAUGGACGCAAGUCUGACCGAGCAACGCCGCGUGAGUGAAGAAGGGUUUCGGAUCGUAAAACUCUGUUGUUAGAAAAGAACAAGGAUGAGAGUGGAAAGUUCAUCCCUUGACGGUAUCUAACCAGAAAGCCACGGCUAACUACGUG